rnacentral:rRNA from 1 species
UACGAAGGGGCAAGCGUUGUUCGGAAUUAUUGGGCGUAAAGGGCGCGUAGGCGGUGCGGUAAGAGUGUUGUGAAAUCCUCGGGCUCAACUCGAGGCCUGACACGCUGACUGCCGUGCUGGAGUGUGGGAGAGGUGCGUGGAAUUCCCGGUGUAGCGGAUGAAAUGCGUAGAUAUCGGAGGAACACCUGUGGCGAAAGCGGCGCACUGGACCACAACUGACGCUGAGGCGCGAAAGCUAGGGGAGCAAACAGG